ACGAACGCUGGCGGCGUGCUUAACACAUGCAAGUCAAGGAGAAAGGUUCCUUCGGGAAACGAGUAAACUGGCGAACGGGUGAGUAACACGUAGGUAACCUGCCCUAGAGACUGGGAGUACCCUGAGGAAACUUAGGCUAAUACCGGAUAAGACCACAUUUCAUAUGGAAUGUGGGAAAAGGAGUCUCAAUCUUCACUCGAGGAUGAGUUCGCGGACCAUUAGCUUGUUGGUGAGAUAAAAGCUCACCAAGGCAACGAUGGUUAGCCGGCCUGAGAGGGCGAUCGGCCACACUGGAACUGAGACACGGCCCAGACUCCUACGGGAGGCAGCAGUGGGGAAUUUUCCGCAAUGGGCGAAAGCCUGACGGAGCAACGCCGCGUGAGGGAUG
rnacentral:rRNA from 1 species